UACGUAGGGGGCAAGCGUUGUCCGGAUUUAUUGGGCGUAAAGAGCGUGUAGGCGGUUUGGUAGGUCCGCUGUGAAAACUCGAGGCUCAACCUCGAGACGCCGGUGGAAACCAUCAGGCUAGAGUCCGGAAGAGGAGAGUGGAAUUCCUGGUGUAGCGGUGAAAUGCGCAGAUAUCAGGAGGAACACCUGUGGUGUAGACAGCUUACUGGACCAUUUCUGACGCUGAGACACGAAAGCGUGGGUAGCAAACAGG
rnacentral:rRNA from 1 species